rnacentral:rRNA from 1 species
AACGAACGCUGGCGGCAUGCCUAACACAUGCAAGUCGAACGAACCCUUCGGGGUUAGUGGCGCACGGGUGCGUAACGCGUGGGGAUCUGCCCAAAGGUUCGGAAUAACUCAGAGAAAUUUGAGCUAAUACCGGAUAAUGUCUUCGGACCAAAGAUUUAUUGCCUUUGGAUGAACCCGCGUAGGAUUAGCUUGUUGGUGGGGUAAAGGCCUACCAAGGCGACGAUCCUUAGCUGGUCUGAGAGGAUGAUCAGCCACACUGGGACUGAGACACGGCCCAGACUCCUACGGGAGGCAGCAGUGGGGAAUAUUGGACAAUGGGCGAAAGCCUGAUCCAGCAAUGCCGCGUGAGUGAUGAAGGCCUUAGGGUUGUAAAGCUCUUUUACCAGGGAUGAUAAUGACAGUACCUGGAGAAUAAAGCUCCGGCUAACUCCGUGCCAGCAGCCGCGUAAAGUAUCGUACG